rnacentral:tRNA from 2 species
CAACUCGUAGCUUAAUUAAAGCAUCUUGCUUACACCAAGAAAAUACUCGUUAAACCCGGGCCAAGUUGA